rnacentral:lncRNA from 1 species
ACUAAGCAAACUUGAUGCCCAUUCUCUAUUGUAAUCUUGUUCCUUGUACACAGUAUUGGUUCCUCCUCUUCAUCCUCUAAAUUGAGGUUUUCAAGAUCUGCCUCUAUUAAAAUACCUUAGUAUCAAAGAUCUUUUGAGGAAAUUGAUAACUCCCAAAAUCCUAGGUUGUGUCGCCGUUAAUUCCCCCAAUACCCAAGUAGAAAAAUCACGAGGGAAGAGUUUAAUCGUUCUUUACUCAAUUCUUGUUAUCAAACCCCAAUCGAUACUGUUGUGAAGGUUCAAAAAAAGGAGAUCUAAGAAAGAAAAUCCACAAUAACGAAAGGAUAAAAACAACGUGC